GAGCUCGCUUCAGCAGCACAUAUACUAAAAUUGGAAUGAUACAGAGAAGAUUAGCAUGGCACACAAAUUCGUGAAGCAUUCCGUAUUUUU
rnacentral:snRNA from 1 species